ensembl:lncRNA
CCUCAGGUCAAUUUCACAUUUAUUGAGUGAGGCAGAUAUUAAAAGGGGAAUCAGAGACAUCCCUGUCUUCAAGGAGAACAGCUUAAGGUGUGUUAAUGGCUCCCCAACAAUGACGGGCUCUGCAGCCUGACAAACACAUUCUUUCACAAGCAGCCCCUGCCUAUCUAUCCAGCCUCACUACCAGCCCUUUUCCUAUCUGUACCCUCCAUCCCUAGCCAUCCCAGCUAUCUGAGCGUUCCGUUCACUCCCUCCCUCUGCCCCUUUGUAUCAUCAAAGCCUCAGUCCAAACAGCAUCUCCUGAUUGUACCAACUUUUUAAUCUAGAGCUAUGCUUCUUGAGGGCAAGUCUGUAUUUGAUUCAUCUUUCUACUCACAAGCCUUGCACAGUCCGAGGCACCAGGUCAGCCCUGCAGCCCAGCUGGAGCUCUUCAAUUACUCAAGGCAUGUGCCCAGGCGUGAGAAAUUCUGGCUCCCUGCUCAGCGUAGAUAACACCAUCGCUUAAGCUGCCUCUUUCCAAUUCGUUCCUCCCAAGUCUGUCUUCAAGAUAGAGGACACCAGAUCCUCAUCCUGGGCGCAUCAAUUCUAAACCAGGUAAAUCUUCUUAAUAUAAUGCUAUUGCAGCUCUGAGAAUCUGUGUUUUAAAUACAAACAAGCUACACCUGUGUUUGCAUCUUCAGCGCCUAUCGUGAUGGCAUAUCUGGCACCAGAGGAGUUAGUCUCUUCUAUGAGCGUACCAUAGAGACCCUCUGAGCCCCUCCCCUCCCUCUCUCCCAUGCUUUCUUGAGCCCACGCAGCCAGGCGCCUGUCCCACCACUCCACCUUGAGGAGGCCCUUUACCUGGGAAAGGAAAGGAGCCAUCAGCCACCAUCAUGAUUUGGAAGGAGAAGGGAAAGAAAGAGUGGAACCACCCUGCCUAAGAAGGUGGGGCGUAUUUAAGCAUAUUGUGUUGAGCGGAACAGUAAGAAGCCCCAAACUGGGGGAGAGGAGGCCUAGGAGAGAAGAGUCCCGAGAAGGGGACAGAAGCCGAAAUGAAUGGCAGGAAGCAAGACUGGCCAAUGGGCAACUUCCUGGAGUCAGGAAACGAUUUUUAAGACAGUCACCUUGAUAGAGCAACCUCGCACUGUCAUCUUCAUUGUCCUGUAAUGCCACGCCAUGACCCCAAGCAUGCAAACAAGCAUCGAUCGGCAGCCCAAUGUUAGUGGAACUUAUGGGAAUGGACAGACGCAGGACCAGAGCAGGGUGAGAGAGCUCGGAAAGAUGGGAACCACAGGAACAAAGGGAACAGCGAAGCCAGCUGCAUUCUGUGACCCUGUGAAAAAGUACUUUUGUUAAUGAGCAAAAAGACAUGUCAAUGAGAAACGUUUUUCUCUAAAUAUAAACUUCCAGCAACUUUUCUGUUGAAAUCAUUUCAGUAAGAACAGAAUAGCCCACUCCUACCUCAGGGAGCCGAGCCGUCUUGGACGCAGAGAAGGAGCCCGGAUUUGCAACCCAGCUGCAGAGCUUCAGAUAAGGGGUUUUUGGACGCUACAUUCUCCUGACCCUAUAGCUUCCAAGGAAACAGGACUCAGUCUGCCCCUCGGCCCAGGCUGGUGUUAAUUCCUUUAUACACAGCGCUAUUUGCUUUGAGGGCAUUAAAACACAGCUUCAUUUGAAUUUUAGCUGAAUCCCACCAUUUCCCCAAGUCCUGUAACAAGUUGGUGGCUUCCUGCGUCCGAUGAAGCACUCCCUGGUCCCCAGAGCACUGUCCCAUGCUGUAACAAGUCAGUACACCUCCUCGUGGACCACACAUUUGUCCCUGGGGAUCUCUGCCUUCCCUAUUUGAGACAUUCCAGGGAAGUGAUCCCUGGACGCAUGUGGGAAUAUUGUGGAAGGUGAGGGAUUCUCUCAGCACAAGAGAAAGGAAAGGUUGGCCCCAAAAGCUCUAAGAUUUAGGGUUCUCUGGUUUUAUGUAUAUAUAUGUGAAACAAAGGAAUGCAGCAUAGUAGGGAAUAACUGAGGAUUUUGCAGUCAGGCAGUCCUGGGUGAAAUGUCCAGCUCCGCCCCUCACUAGCUGCGCGUUACCCUACCUGGCUCAGCUUUUGUCAUCUUUAUUCUUGGGUGUUGUGAGUAUUCAAGGAGAUAAUGCUUGAGAAAUGCUUAUCAUAUGCCUGUCUCCUAUACUAGCCACUCAAUAAUGUUAACUACUCCUGGUGGGAAACUAGGAGUGGAUAUGAAUACGAAACGGAAAGAAUCAUGGGAAACUAAAGAUAUCAGCUCUCUUGAGGUGGUAGGAUUUGGCUCAUUUUCUUUGAUAUCCUAUAUUGCUUUCCUUUUCUUGUGACGUUUCCUUUGGCUCCUGGCAUCAGCCGGACCACAGGCCUGCUUCUUGUGAAGGGCUCUCCGACUCGGUUGACGGCAACUCUGUUCUUCCAGUUGAAAAUCCUGGAGACCUCCUUGAUCCUGUCUCUCCUGCCUUGCAUCUAAAGGAGUAAAGCUUAUUGGCUCUUCCUUCAAAACCCCAUCACCUGCCACCUUCACCUGUCCAUCCUGAUCCCUUCAACUAUCACCACUUGCCUUGGUUAUUGAAACUGCAUCCUAACUGGGCUUCCUGCCUCCCCCAUCAAUCCCCUACAGCAGCAGGCUCCACUCAGCAGCCAGGAAAACCCUUUUCAUAUGCAAAUCUGGCUGCCCCCUCCUCCCCUCAAAACCCUCCAAUGAUGCCCACCUCACCAAAAUCUUUACAAUAGCUUACGAGGUCCUAUACAAUCUGGCUCUGGUUACCUCUCUGAAUUUCUCUCGCACCCUCUCCUUUUCAUUACUCCACAGCAGCCACACUAGCUUCUUGGCUAUUCCUUGAAAUACCAACGGUGCUUUCACCUCAGGGCCUUUGCAUGUGCUGUUUCUUCUGCCUGGAGCACUCUUCCUCUACAUUUCCACAUGGCUCACUCCCUCACUUCCUUCAAGUCUACACCUGAGUGUCACUUUCUUGGAGAUGCCCCCUGACCACUGCAUGUGUGCACAUGCACAAACACACAUGCAUGCACAUAAAUGGCAAAUAUUUCCAAUCCCACCACACCCUGUCUCCCACACUCAAAUUUAUUUCCCCCAUAUCAUCUGUUGCCAUUGGACUCACAUCAUAUUGACCCUUCUGUGUGUUUAUUUCCUAGCCCUGCCACUAGAAAAUACGUUCCGCUUGAUCAGGAGCUUACUUUAGUCUGUUCACUACUGUGUCUCCAGCAUGUAGAACAAAGUUGGCAUAAAGUAGAUAUUCAAUUAAUAUUUUUAAUUGAACUGUAUGAAUGAAAUCAAAGGUUUUAAUAGGUUUUAAUUAAUUCCCAUGCACUCCUGAGCAGUAGAGAC